UACGUAGGGUGCGAGCGUUAAUCGGAAUUACUGGGCGUAAAGCGUGCGCAGGCGGUUUAUCAAGACAGGCGUGAAAUCCCCGGGCUCAACCUGGGAACUGCGCUUGUGACUGGUAGGCUAGAGUGUGGCAGAGGGGGGUGGAAUUCCACGUGUAGCAGUGAAAUGCGUAGAGAUGUGGAGGAACACCGAUGGCGAAGGCAGCCCCCUGGGCUAACACUGACGCUCAUGCACGAAAGCGUGGGGAGCAAACGGG
rnacentral:rRNA from 1 species